GAAAGAGUUCUUUCUAAAGCAAAUAUCACCUCACAGUUUAUCAUUCUGUUAUUCUAGGUUUCAUGGGCUGACUCAUUUUACUUAGAGCAAUCUAAUUACACUGACCUUUGUUGAGAGUUGGGAUUGAUGAGGUCCCAGAUCGAUCCCCAUCAAGUCCAGUUUCCUUUCACUGGUCUCUGGACAAGGACUGCCACAGCCCGGCUGCCUGAUGCAAACGCACACCUUUGGUCUUCAGGGGCAAUGGUUUUACCAUCUUCAUAAAAAUACUUGGAGGACAGCUGCAUCCACAGACAUC
rnacentral:lncRNA from 1 species